ensembl:lincRNA
AUUCCCUGAAUAUGAUGGCUGUUCUCAGUUUUCAAUUUGACUAUAUCUGGAAUUAACUAAAACCCAAAAGUGGCUGGACACACUUGCUUAGAUCAUUUGAAGUUGGACGAUUCAUUUCACGCAUGGUCUCCCUCGGACUCCCUGAAAUAACUGAGUCCUGCGGGUCGGGACAAGUGGCAUCCAAACGUGGGGCCCGAGGUACAGACCGUCACUGGACAGAGCCAAUUUUCCUGAGAAGGUCACUCCGAUGAAGUCGUUUUGAGGAGAGCUCUCACCGCUCAUGAGAGAAAGUCAUCCUCGCAGCCAAAUGCAUCACCUCAACAAGUUCUCUGACUGAUUGCAUGGAGAUUGCUUAAGACAGCCAAAAGAACCAAUUUGGUCAAGUAAAAUCAGUUUAAUGGCCAUAAAGUCUGACAGGAACUGAUGAGAAGUUGUGAAUGUAAGACUCCAGGGAGCCUUAGCUUACCUAGGACCCCCUGAGUGAACCACGUGGAGCCAGAAUCGAUGCAAAAAAGCAAGAGGAAUUUAUUGUUCCAGUGCACUGAGGUCGUCCCAGACCCGAAGAAGAGGUGACCCCCAGCACCUGCCGAGUUUUCAUAUGGUUUCCAGGGACAGAAUAGAGCAUCAACAACUUGGCACAAUAUGAUAGGUGGAACAGUGCACCCUUUAAACUGAUUGAACUUUAGGGAAUGAGGUGACAAGGACUUUCCUUGUCUGAAGGUGGGCAACAAUCGGUCCUGCAGAAUGUGUCCCCACCAGCAGGUUGGUCCCCGCACUGUGGUUUGAGAAAUGGUAAUUAGCCUCUCCCUUCUGGAGGUGCAAGUGUUCCAUGACCUUCCCAAAGUUCAUAAGCUGAUGUUUUCAUGAGAAGUGCUGAGUUCCAAGGCCCUUUUUUAUGUUUUGAUGAAAGAACGCCAUGUUGGUUUCUCUACAAAGAUUAGUGAUGACUGCAUUGACCCAAGAAAUAGCUAAAAGGUAACAUACUACUAUAAUUAUAUAAAACAAUACAGUGUUUACAGUUUUGUUUGUAUUUGUCUUUUAUUUAUUUAUUUGCUUAUUUUUGGCAUUUGAAAGAUACCAUGUUUUUGUAUCUAACAAUAAAUCUGGGGAGACCUAAGGUGCAGGUUUUUUAUGUUGAUCCAACACCUAAAACAGGAGCUGCUCUCUUUCUUCAUUAUUCAGGGAUUCCCUCAUUAUUAUGGUAAUGAGGUUAGCUCUGAGCUCCUUCCACAAGAACUCCUCUUUGCUAAUCCUAUAGAGUACUGGAUUCCUGGGGCAUUAUUGGAUAAAAGUUUCUAUUCUUACUCCAACCACUGCAGUAUUUUCACUAGCUCAGCAUUAUGUAUUUUUCUGCAUUCUUCCUUGCAUACAUACUAGUAAAAGGUAACUGUUUUGAUAAAUAAAUUAAAAAAAAACCUUCCUGC